GGGUAACGGGGAAUUAGGGUUCGAUUCCGGAGAGGGAGCCUGAGAAACGGCUACCACAUCCAAGGAUGGCAGCAGGCGCGCAAAUUACCCAAUCCCGACACGGGGAGGUUGUGACAAUAAAUAACAAUACGGGGUUCUUUCGGAUUUCGUAAUUGGAAUGAGUACAAUUUAAAUCUCUUAACGAGGAACAAUUGGAGGGCAAGUCUGGUGCCAGCAGCCGCGGUAAUUCCAGCUCCAAUAGCGUAUAUUAAAGUUGCUGCAGUUAAAAAGCUCGUAGUUGAAUUUCGGGACCAUCAUGUCGGUCGUGCCUCGGUACGUACUGGCAUUGUUGGUUUCUCCCUUCUGACGAACCAUGAUGUCAUUUAUUUGGUGUUGUGGGGAAUCAGGACUGUUACUUUGAAAAAAUUAGAGUGUUUAAAGCAGGCUCACGCUUGAAUACAUUAGCAUGGAAUAAUGAAAUAGGACGUUUGAUUCUAUUUUGUUGGUUUCUAGGUUCGACGUAAUGAUUAAUAAGGAUAGUUGGGGGCAUUAGUAUUCAAUUGUCAGAGGUGAAAUUCUUGGAUUUAUUGAAGACUAACUACUGCGAAAGCAUUUGCCAAGGAUGUUUUCAUUAAUCAAGAACGAAAGUUAGGGGAUCGAAGACGAUCAGAUACC
rnacentral:rRNA from 1 species